rnacentral:lncRNA from 1 species
UACAUGAUUUGUGCUGCACUUGAAAAGUUAAUCCUGAUUUCUUCUAUGGUGGUGAUAGGUUUAAAUUUUAGAGAUCAUGUAUGCGUUGGAUGGCUUAGUGAUUCCAAGGAAUACAUAGAUGCUAGGAAACCUAUGGACGAUGUUGGGAUCUGAUUCUGAAGAUCAUGUACUUUCCUUUUAGUUUUUUAUUUACAUGCUUAUACAUAAGAACAACUCUACUUACAUUCUAAUUUUGCCAGAUGCACUCUUCCAUAUAGUGGCUGCAUUCCUUAAUCUAGGGAACAUCGAGCUUGCAGAGGGUCAAGAAUCAUAAGAUUCAGAACCUAAGGAAGAGAAAUAACGGUUCCAUCUAAACAUCAAGGUUGUUCAUGCUAACACUAAGGUAUGGCUUUGCUUCACUUUCUUCACUCAUAUUUAACCUUAAACCAAAGCUUAUUUAGAUAUCAGUAGAGAACUUUUCAGUAUAUGACAAUGUAUGUGUUUGCAAGAAUUCAUCUUUGUAAGAUGUUAAGCGACAUUGUGUUAGGACUCCACGUUUAUCAUUGAUCUAAAUAAGCUAGGAUUUUUAAAUCUAUUUGAUCAGUCCAGUUUUAUUUGUUAGGUACGCUCUUCGUUGAUACUUUUUAUCUAAUAGAUGGAAGAAAUCAACAUUUGAUUGCAUUAAAGGAAAAUUUAAUCAUAUAUUUCAAGGAGGGUGACACUUCGUUGAGACUUUCAAUCUCUUUAACUUUUUGCCAACUCCAUCACCAGGCGAGAGACAUUGUUUUCAGCAGCUCGGUAUUGUCUCACCAAAAAGCAUUGUUAAUAUCUAAACUAUUAAAACAGAAAUAUAUUUUGUACUUAGCCCUGAGUUUUCCUCAAUAAUUACUACCUUAUGCCACUAGCCUAAAAUACCAUCGUUUACAAUAUUCCUUAACCACCCUAAAUUAAUUGACAUCACUUAGCCAUAAAUAACUUGUAUAUAAACCGAAUGAACCAAAAAUAUUGUCCUUCUCCCUUCCAUCCCUCGGUUUAUGUUGGUCUGCAUAAUCAAAACCAAUAAAUACAUUGUUAAUUUAUUGUUAAUUUGACUAUAUUAAAAACCAAUUGUAUAAAUACUUAACCACAUAAUUCGAUCCAAUAUAUAUCAUGCUUAAGAAAUCAUGUAAUAGACAUUGUCGUGAUAUCAUUGUUGUGCUAUCAAUUAACUUUUUCUCAUCUAAACUAUUAAUUUCAUGUAUUGUUGUGUUUACUCGGUUUUUGGUUAUGUUCCAUCUACACUAAACAAUCGUAUGGUUUGUAUCAUCAUUUAUCUUAUAUUAUUAUGAUUUAUCAAACGUAUAUAAUGUUAUUAUAUUAAAAAUACUUAGUUAGGUUAGUUAAUAUGAUAAGAUAUUAUAGUUAGUAUCCCUUUUUUUUUAUUUGAAGAGCAUUUUAGAGAACUAACCUUUACUUCAUGUGUUUAUUACAAGUGUGUCAUUUCCUACGUGUCAGCACCACAAGCUCUCUCACAUCAUAUAUUCAAAAACCCAUUGUUAACUAGAUUAUUACAAAAAUUGCCAUUGAUCAUUAGAUUAUAAUUUAGGUAUAUACUAUAAGCUUAUUGAGUAUUGACUAACAACAUAAUUAACCUUGACACCCUUGCGUUUAAUGCUUACAACGCAUUCAUUUUUAAACGGUUUCAUCUUUAAAUACGGAAAGAUUUCAUUGCCAUACGCAGAGAUUCUUGAUUGUUUAUUUCAUUAUCAUUCAUCAUAUAGCAUGACUACAUAUAUAUAUAUAUUUUUUAAUCGUGCUUGAUGCCGUCCCAUGACGAUAAGUGGGAAAUGAAAUCCCAUGUGUACAUAUGUAUAUACAUAUAUAUAUAUGUUGCUGCAACUCUUCUCCGUAUUAUUGCAAGAUACCAAUCACAAUCACAUAGCGGCAAAUUAAGAAGAACUUGCAAGCAAACUCUUACUUAAAAAUGUAUUUAUAUAUAUUAAUCGUGCUUGAGGCCGUCCCAUGACGAUAAGUGGGAAAUGAAAUCCCUUGUGUACGUAUGUAUAUACAUAUAUAUAUAUGUUGCUGCAACUCUUCUCCGUAUUAUUGCAAGAUACCAAUCACAAUCGCAUGGCGGCAAAUUAAGAAGAACUUGCAAGCCAACUCUUACUUAAAAAUGUAUUGUAGACGUGUUUAUAAUUCACAUUAGUAAUAAUACGGUCAAUUAGAUUUCAUUAUUUUUCAUAUGGGGUUUUAAAAUCUAUUAAAGUUCUUUUUAUGGCAUCUUUGCACUUGGAAUUGGUUAUUUUUAUGGCAACUUAAAUGAUCUAAUAUAUUAUAUUUUAAAAAGCAGGAUUGCAGUUUCAUAUCUCCUCCUUUGCACGUUAACCCUGUUUAUCAUUUCCAUAAUUAUCAAUGAAAUAUACUAUUGGAGAUCAUUUUAUGGUAGUUUAGUGUAAAUGAAUUCGAUUAAAGGCAACACAAUUAAAUACAUUACCGUUUAGUUUUUUUCCAUAAUUCAUGAUUCAAAUAUGUCAUUAUUGUAACAUUAAAUAUAUGAAUCAAAUUUGGGUAACUAUGACAACUCAUACCACAAGCAAUUUUAAAUUAUUGAAUUGAUCAUCACGCUAAAUAUACAUUGAAUGCAAUAUAUUCCUACAUGCUAUUAGUCAAUCAUAGCAACAAUCAACUUGAUUAUGGGCAAGUCAAUUGCCCGUUUGAUUAGUAAAAUAUUCCCUUCACUUUAUUCCUGAAUAUUUUUAAUUGCAAAAGAGAAAAUCCUAUAUAUCAUGUGGUUAUAGAAAAUAUUCAUAGAUGUUAUCACUCACUGUGAUACUGCCUUACUUGGUAAAGCAUAGAAAUUAGUAUAUUAAUAUAUGAAAGUUUUUGUUUCGAGAGCUUAAAUUAUGGCAUAUAGGUAGUUUUCAUUUAUUGAUAUAUAUUAUCAUUCCUUUGUUUACUAUUUCAUUAAUGACCUAAGAGUAUUGGUACCUAUAUAUAACGGAGGUCGUUUUGCUUCAACACUAACAUACAAUCUGAAAUCAUGUGUUGUUUCCAAGUUUGAAACGAUCAAUGAUUGUAACUACAUUUGUCUAGCCAACUUCCAUUGGAUCAUUCGUGGUCUUUCUCAUCCAAAGUUUUGUGUUGGUAUGUUUAUGAUAUUUUGUCUAUGUGUAUAAACUCAUUUUGUUACUAAAAUAUACACUAUUAAUAUUUUUUUUUUAAUAUGGAGUUAUAUUUUAUUUCAUUAUGAUUAUAUUCUUUUUUAAUAUGGAGUUAUAUUUUAUUUCAGUAUGAAAUUGUUGUCUUUUAUUGAUAACAACUAUUUAUUUUAAGUUUACUAUUGUCUUUUAAAUGUUCAAAUAUCAGCUUUAUUCUCCAUGCGAUUGUUAUUAAAUUUCAGAUUGUAUGGUAAAAGAAUAAAAAUAAAUUAAAACAUUUUUAAAAAGUAAAAGAUAAAUUAAAAGAAGCUGAUAUGUAUUUUGAGUCAUAAUCAAUAAAGGUUCAAUAAUGAGCCUCUUUUACAAAUUGGAGUCCUAAUCACCCCACUAAAUUUGUAUAUUCAAAUUAUUUAUUUUUUUCUCCUUUUCUUUCCAAACUAAUAUUAUUUACUUCAAUUUAUUUUUAUUCUUUUACAAUCUUUAUGUACUCCAGAAACAGUAUAAUUUUAAUAAAAUAUAACGAUACAACUUUGAUAAUAGGAAAAUUACUAUUUCUCGACCAUAAUAAGAUUUUUUUUUUUUUGGUAGGGACAAUAAUAAGAUUAUCGUUAUCCGGAUAUUCCAGUAAAAUUUUUUUUUUUACUUAAAACUCCGGUUAACUUUCAAUCCCAAAUUGGUUUUCUUUGCAUUAAUGUAUAAUAUGCCACUUUUUCUUUUAACCUUUGUCAUUAGCUAUAGAUUAAAAUUUAUAAUCUCUUUUAAUCCAUUCACCCCGCGCAGGGCGCAGGUCAUCACCUAGUCGUUAGAUAUUAUCGGUGCACAAAAUCAAAACUAAUAACGUAGUAUUUUCCUAAAUAACAUUCCAAAAACGUUACUUAUUUCCAUGCAGUCAUCAUAAAUAAAACGAUAUCAUUGAAGUGCCACAAUCUCCAUAUUAUGUUUCAAAACUCACAUCACGUAUAUCUAAUCUAUAAAAACGAAUAUUCUGGUUAUUAUGAUGAUUUAAUGUUAAAGGAAUGUGAUUAAAUAAUUCAAAACGUAUAUUCCCUUUUCAAUACGUUCAAAUCCCAACUAACAAAAUAACUCGAUUCGAUUUCUAUCUAACCUACUUGUUUUUUUUUUUUUAACACUGAAAUCAAACAUAACAUCCAUUGUUUGGUUCCAUCAUAGGAGACCGAAAGAAAAACGGAGCACAAAGCUCAGAUAAAGCAUAAAAGAUAAAAUUUGAAAUAAAAUACCAGUAACCACCAUAGUGGAACACCAUAACCCAAAAGGAGACGAAUCAAUGCUCUUAUUGGAAACGUGGUGCCAAAGGAAAGCUGUGGUAUUAACCUCUAGCUUCACGAGAUAACAAAGAGUAGAGCCAGGCUGGACCUUGCGAGGCUAUGUAUGAUUGGUACCGGUGGCCCGUUGUAACCGACCCUGCAAUCAUGUUCGCUGCUACAUUACGUUCAUCAGUUGCAUGAUCAAGACUCCAGUCCUCAAACUUGUGAAGCAAGGCAGUGAUUUGAGAUGUAAGGUAAUGGAGGCUGGGGGAAACGGAUGAAGAUAACAUUAUCUCUCUUGUAUCUUCUGUUGAGGUCUCGAAGAUGAUGUUAUUUUGCCUCAUGUUAUGCAUGCUCUCAACCUCCCAAAGUAGAGCAGUGAUGUGAGCUUCUUUGCCUGAGUUUAUUGCUGAAUAAGAUCUUCUGCUAUGAGCCACCGUUCGUCCUUGGGGAUCCCUUAGGAUCCAAGCAGCUCCGCAAUUUCUCUGAGCACAGACCCAGGAGGAACCUACGUUACAUUUGAGUGUACCAAUAGGCGGUUUGAUCCAGGUCUUGACGGUCGGGGUUGGUUCGGAAUCUCUUUGGGGAGAGUUAGCUAAGAACCAAAGUUCCGCCUCCUCAAAGGCCGUCCUAACUGCUUGUCUGGGAGACAAGGAUGUGUUUUUGAAAGCCAAAGAGUUCCUGGCUUUCCAAAUCUGCCACAGAACCCAUGGAACAGCCCGUCUAAUACUCAUUUCCAGUCUGCUGUUGUUCAUAACUCCUACUAGGUGAUAGAUGUUUAGGAACACAGAGUUUGCAGAAAAACCAGCUGGAGGUAUUGGUAUAUUAGCGAGUUCCCACAUCUGUUGUGCUUUGUUGCAUAGGAAAAGGACAUGGAAAAUAGAUUCGGUCCCUGCUCCGCAACUUUGACAAGUCGCAUCGAUUUGGUUCCCUCUGGUUUGUAGUCUCUCUUUAACCGCUAAAGCACCUGAUAGAGAUCUCCAAAAGAAGUGCUUAAGCUUAGACGGGGCUUUGAUCUUCCAGAUGUUGCUCCAUAACUUCUUUUCAACAGGGGGAAUAACACAGUUGUCAGGGGCUUGCAGCGCUACUAGAGUUUCAGUCAGGUGAUAACCACUGCGUGUGCUGUAGAUGCCAUUUUUAGUGAAACCCCAGAUGAUUGAAUCUUCUCUAUUCAUCAAUGGCUUCAGUAGCAUUAUGCGGUCUGCAUCACCCGGGGCGAAGGUCUCAUAGACUAGCUCUCUGUUCCACCUUCCCGUGUUAACCUCGAGCAGGUCUGCGACUUUCAAUGCAAGGUUCACUUCUCUAUCCUCUCUAUACAUAGGUGGUCUAGGGAUCCCAUAAAUUAUCCAGUUCUCCACCCAGACAUUGGAAUGUACACCAUUCCCUAUAGCUAUAAUCCUUGUUUCAGUAGUUCUCUCCCAUGUAGUAUACUGCGCCAAGUGAAAGAAGGUCUAGUGCCUGAGCCACAUUCCAGGAAAGAUUUUUUAGAGAAGUACCGCCCUUUUAAGACCCUUGCCACUAGAGAAUUUGGACGGCUCCAUAUUCUCCACGCUUGCUUACCAAGCAAAGCUUGGUUGAAUCUUCCGAUGUCAUGAAAAGCCAUACCCCCUUGAUCCUUCGGUUUACACAGUUUCUGCCAUGCUACCCAGGGGAUUUUUCUCUUCUUGUCACCGCUGCUCCACCAGUACUCAACAAUGACACUAGUAAGCCGCGCGACGAGUUCCUUCGGCAAUUGAAAGACCGACAUUGCAUAUAUAGGCAAAGCAAGAGCGACAGACUUGAUUAAAACUUCUUUGGCUCCCAUAGAAAGUGUUUUCGUAUACCAACCUUGAAGUCUACCUUCUAGCCUCUCUUUGAUGAAGUUCAAAAGGUCUUUCUUGGAUCCAUUGAAGCAUUCUGGAAGCCCCAGAUAAGUCCCUUCACAGCCUUCCUUCAUGAUGUCUAGAACUUCUUGAAUCUCCGUCUUCUGUUGUUGACUGAUCCCCGAGCCAAAGAUGAUAGAAGAUUUAGAUGUGUUGAUAACCUGACCGGAGGCAUCACCAUAGAGUUUGAGACAGCUUUUGAUCUCUUCACUCUCACAGACCGUAGCAUCACACAUUAGAAGACUAUCAUCAGCAAACAACAAGUGGUGAACUGCUGGACAACUCGACGAUAGUUUGAUGCCAUGUAGCUUUCCUUGUGUUUCCGAUUGGUUUAGUACAUUGACUAAAGCUUCUGUACAAAGAAUAAAUAGGAAAGGAGACAACGGGUCUCCCUGCCUUAUUCCUCUUUCUGGUCUAAUGAAACCGUGGGACUGACCGUUGAGCAGAACGUCAUAGGAGACUGAACUUAUACAAGCCAUAACCCAUCUGAUCCAAUCUCUUGCAAAUCCCAUUUUUUCCAAUAAAAUCUCCACAAAGUUCCAUUCUACUCUGUCAUAAGCUUUCGACAUAUCAGUCUUGAUAGCCAUAGAUGUCUCUCCCACUUUCUUAUUGGUACGUAGUCCAUGGACCAUCUCAUGAGCAACUAUGAUGUUGUAUGUUAUCAGUCGACCUGCUACAAAGGCUCCCUGAGUGUCAGAGACUAUGUCUGGUAGAACCUUCUUAAGCCUAUCACACAAGAUACGAGAUAUGAUCUUAUAUUGGACAGAACAUAGACUGAUGGGGCGCAUAUCAGUCAUCUCCGAUGGGUUGGGGACUUUUGGCAGCAAGCUUAACUGAGUAUGGUUCCAUCCAUCAGGCAUGAUAGCUGCGAGGAAGAAGCCCUGAACUGCUUGAAUAAUCUUGGGACCAACAAUAUGCCAGUACCGCUGAUAGAAAUGACAUGUUAGUCCAUCCUCACCAGGUGCGCUGUCACCUUUAACUCCAAAUGCUGCACGUCUGAUGUCUUCUGGUGUGACCGCUCUAGUAAGCAUCUCGUUCAUAGUUUCUGUCACCUUAACCGGAAAUCCUACAAACAGAGGUUCCAUGUCCAUCGGAUUUGAGCUCAUAAAGAGGUCCCUAUAGAACUCCACUGCGAUAUUGCCUUUAGAACCUUCAGAGUAGUUUUCUUGUCCAAAGACAUCGUGAAGCAUUAAGACCUUGUUCUUUAGGCGUCUUCCUCUGACUUCAUUGUGGAAAAACACUGUGUUUCUGUCCCCCUCCUUUAACCAUUCCACUCUGCUCCAUUGCCUCCAGAAUUUUUCCUCUUCCAAUAAAGAAACUGAUAGCUCUUGUUUUAACCUCCUCAUUCUUUGGAAGUUCGGGAAUUGAGACGCUAUCUCCUUUUCUAAAUCCGCUUUCAGUUUCUCUAUUUUUGUCUUGGAAUUCAUGUUUUCCGAUCUCUUCAACUUGGCCAACUCCAUUCUGCAUCGCGCAAUACAGUCCAUGAUGCUAGAGGCUGAUGUCGUGUCACCUGGGUCCCAGCUGCGAGCUAUGGCUUCCUCUACACCCCUUCUUCCCAUCAUGCGCUUAUCAAAGAAAAAGUGUCCCUUAUGCUUCUCUUCCACUUCCAGUGCAAAGUUAAGCCUAAUGGGCCUGUGAUCAGAUGACCUCAUGUCCAUGUACUCUGUUUUUGAUCUCGGAAACAAGCGAAACCACUCAUCGUUGCCGAAGCUUCUGUCCAAACGGCAUUGUACGCAUGCAUUAUAUCUCUUCCCCGCCCAAGAGAGAAGAUUCCCAUGGCUUGUGUGCUCUCGUAUCUUGCAUGUAUCUGCCAUGUUCCUAAAGUCCCAAAAAGUGCUCUCUUCCCUGACGGCUCCACCCAAUUUUUCGUCAUUGCUCUUAAGUUCAUUAAAGUCCCCAAUCAGCAUCCACGCCUCGUCACGUUGCAUUCCAAUAUUUGACAAUCUGUCCCAUAUCACUUGUCUUCUACCUCUUACUGGGUCUCCAUAGACACACGUAAGGAAGAAGGAUAAAGAGCCAAGAGUAACCUUUAAAUCAAUGAUCCUGUUAUCGCUAUUCAGUAUGUCGACCACGUAACUCUGUUUCCACAUAACAGCCAUUCCUCCACUCCUACCAAUAGGAUCAACCGUAAGUAACUUGUCAUAACCCAAACUUGUUUUCAAUUUUUCUAAGUAACUAGAUUUUUGUUUAGUCUCCAUGAGAAACAAAAAAAUCAGGAAAAUACACCCGGCGCAUCUCCCUGAUCCGUUGAACUGUCUCGGUGUUUUCCGCCCCUUGACAGUUCCAGCUCAGUACGCUCAUUGGAGGGGGGCAGCGGCUUCAAUACGGAAGCCACCGGAGUACAUUGGUUUUGGUUCUGUUUCUUAGAUCCUUCACAAGCAGGGUCAGUUGCUUUUCUCUUGGUACGACUAUCUCCUGAAUCCUCUGGAUUGUCAUCUAGUGUCAGCUUAGACGGGACUGUAGUUGUACGCAACCUUCUCUUCCACGCUGGGGGCCUGUUCCUCUGUUUUUUUUUCACCGUGGGUCCCGGAGUUAGAAGAAGGCUUACUGGAUGCCCCCAUACUAAAGCCUGUAGAACUCUCAGUGUACAGAGACUGUGAAGAAGAAGCACCAGAUUCAACCCUCUCAGCUUCUUGAGUAAUAAGAGGCGCACCCAGCUUGCUGGCUUGUUCACCUCCCGACGAUGAGAUAGACUUAAGAGUUUCACCAUCCUCAGUAUAGCGAAAAACCAUCCCUUUCCCUUGGCUGAUAUCAGUAGUGAUGAUGGGGCGUUGAUGCUCUCUUUGGUCCUUAGUAUCUUUAAUACUUUGUUUAACUCUUUCAAUUCUCGCCAGGCGCUCUGUAGGGUCAGCAUGAGAGAUGUACAACAUGGCACUUUGUUGAUCCUCUUUAGACAGCUCCGGGAAUAGAGAUGGAAAGCCUGGGGGACCUUCCAAGAGCCGUGGUAUGAAAGUCUCGCCUUCUUUGCUUUUUCCUUUUGUGAGAUCCAUUGGUGGAGUCUGAGAAGAUGACCCCUUCACCGGAGUGCGAUGGUUAUGGUGCUUGUUUUUCAGCCAAGGGCAUUGCACUUUCUCAUGCGUGAGUCUAAAGCAAUGGAAACACUUUUUCCUGAUUUUUUCAUACUCAUAAGAGAUUGCAACACUUUUGCCAGCUGAGAGGUUAAAGAUCUUCUCUUCUCUAGCAGGUUUAGAUAUGUCAAAAAUCACUUGAGCACGGAUAAAAUCAGCCUUCUGAGACACCUUAGGAUCAUAAGCUACCACCUUGACCUCUACAAUAGCCUUGGCCAUCUCAAACAUGGUAUCAAUGGUGUAGUAAUUGGAUGGUAUGUUCCUGAUGCGUAUCCAAACUUCAAACUUCGUGAGAAAGUCAUUCGGAGGAGAUUCUGUCCAUCGUUCGAGGAGCAUGGUCCAGAAGAUGAAAGACCAUGGUCGAUCACUCAAGACCGUUUGUAGAUCUUCCUCGCGCUUGAAGAUGAACUGAAACUUCUCUCUAGAGAGAGCAAUACCACGAACUCUACCAACCAAUCUCCAGUGUUUUGGCAUAUCCUCUAUCAUUCGAGACAUAGACUGACAGUCAGGAUUCAGCAGUCUCCCCAGCAGGCUAAGGGAGUUCUCAUCAAAGACUCUAAAGCGAGGCUCAUCAGGGAGUGUGAUCGGCUCAUCAUCUUCCAGCGUCAUGGAUUUCAUCGCAGAGAAUAGUUCUUUAGACAUCGGAGCAGUACAUUCGUCAAUAGCCUUGAGGAACCACCGUGAAAAGUCUUUUUUUGAGAGAAGAUCUAUUACACGUGAUUGGUGGUGACCUUUAAUGCGAUUGAAUUCGGAUACCUUUUUCUGCGAAAUCAUAUCAAGAAAUGGGUUUGUUGACAAAGCAAAGGAGGGAAAAGGGAAAUUUUCUGAAGGAUCGGAUUCGAAAAUAUUUGGAAAAAGAAAGAGCAGAAAUAAGGGAGUUUUAAUAUUCCAAAAAUAGACCGUACUCGAAGCCGGUAAGGAAGCUCUACUCAACGAUGAGAGAGGAAAGUAAUAAAGUCAAAACCAACGUACUAGGUCGGAGAAAAAUUCUGGUGGAGAGCAGAAAAAGAAAAAUCUGAUUUUAUCACUUAUCUACAAUGAACCUACUUGUUAGUAAGCCAACUAUAUAUAUAUAUCUCAUCUCUAUUGAUUCAAAAAAAAUCAUUAUAUGUCACAACCUAAACAUGUCUAAGAAUACAACUUUUGUGCCUCUCACAAAAGUCAGGCCUUUUAAAACCUCAUGGCGAGUUCAAGUUGCCCUUUGGAGGAGAUACAUUCAUCAUGGUUUUAGCCGACCAAUUUGUAACUUUGCUUUCCAAACGUUUGUUACAUUCAAAUACACAUUGCUUUUACUAGUAUCUAAUAGUUUAGGAUUGUAUACUAACCUCUUUAUGUUUCAGAUCCGAUCAAGUUCAGACAUCAUCCAUAGAUGCGAGAGCAACAAAUCCGAGCCUUCCAUUCUACUCUUGAGGUUUGCUUUGUUGUUGGUUUCUUCUUACAUUCUUCUUUGUGUUAGAUCACUUUCUGAAACGCAAAUAUACAAACCAUUAGCGCCAUGUAUAUAGUGGUCUGAAAUUCAGACCCUUUCUUGGAAAUAGUUUCAAUCAAACUAAACAGAGUUAAAAUUAGUCAGCAUAAGAAAUCAAAAGGGGAGUCUUUUACUGAUUCGUUACCGAUUUGAGACAUGCAAGAUGUUUGUUUUGAUCCGAUCUUUAACAUUAUAUUCAAUUCAUCCUCUCAAAUUCACCAUCCUCUUUUUUUUUCUUAGAUUGCAUGUUUCGAUCUAACUAUUAGUUGCUGAUCUACAACGAGUAGCAUAUAUGAAACAAACACUAAAUCAAUAUAUCUUAGAAAUGAAAUCUCAAAAGCUAAAGGAAAAAGUAUGAAGACUCUAACCUUAUUAUUUUCUUCUCAGAUGAAUAUGAAGGUUAAGUGGAUUAGAAUUCAUCAUGUCCGUAAAUCAAAUGAGUUUGAUUCGUUAUGUUUGUGGAGAUUGAUACAGCCCCGGAAGCUAGGAUGGUGAGAUGGUUGAUGAAAUGGUGAUGGUUGAGAAAUCAGUUUAGAUGGAGGUGGUUGAUGGAUGAACUACUGUUCCUUCACGUCCAAGAUAACCCCAAACAAAGGAAGAAAAAAGACUUUAUGAAUGAUAAAAUAAGAACAGAAAGUGAAAUAAUUAGAUAAGAUAGAAUGGGGUGGAUUGAUGGAUAGAUGAUUGAUGAUCGAAGAUGGAAUUGGUGAUGGAUAGAAGAUGAUUGACUCUCUCAAUCCAUGGGCUUGAUUGACUCUCUCAAUAUGGAAUAACACUGGCUGUUGAUCACACAAACAACCAAUGCUAGACGAAUCAAUAGAACACAAGAAUCACUCAAGUAUCAUAAAGACAUAUUUCUAUUCAAAGACUCUCUUUGAUAAAACCAAACAAACUGAUUAUUAUUUCUUCAAGAUUGAAAAGGUGUCUUACAAGGAAGACUAGACAGAGCUUAUAUAGACUCGCGCCUUAACUUAUAUAGAAAACUAAAACAAAGAAAGAAGCAAACAAAGAAGGAAAACCGAUAAAACUAGUUGUUAGAAGAUAUCUUGGAUCCAAAGGCUUUCUUCAAGGGGUUUGAUUCUAGUUUUGUAUCUGGACGUUUUGAGGGUUUAGGUAAGUUUAAUAUAGUGGUCUGAAAUUCAGACCCUUUCUUGGAAAUAGUUUCAAUCAAACUAAACAGAGUUAAAAUUAGUCAGCAUAAGAAAUCAAAAGGGGAGUCUUUUACUGAUUCGUUACCGAUUUGAGACAUGCAAGAUGUUUGUUUUGAUCCGAUCUUUAACAUUAUAUUCAAUUCAUCCUCUCAAAUUCACCAUCCUCUUUUUUUUUCUUAGAUUGCAUGUUUCGAUCUAACUAUUAGUUGCUGAUCUACAACGAGUAGCAUAUAUGAAACAAACACUAAAUCAAUAUAUCUUAGAAAUGAAAUCUCAAAAGCUAAAGGAAAAAGUAUGAAGACUCUAACCUUAUUAUUUUCUUCUCAGAUGAAUAUGAAGGUUAAGUGGAUUAGAAUUCAUCAUGUCCGUAAAUCAAAUGAGUUUGAUUCGUUAUGUUUGUGGAGAUUGAUACAGCCCCGGAAGCUAGGAUGGUGAGAUGGUUGAUGAAAUGGUGAUGGUUGAGAAAUCAGUUUAGAUGGAGGUGGUUGAUGGAUGAACUACUGUUCCUUCACGUCCAAGAUAACCCCAAACAAAGGAAGAAAAAAGACUUUAUGAAUGAUAAAAUAAGAACAGAAAGUGAAAUAAUUAGAUAAGAUAGAAUGGGGUGGAUUGAUGGAUAGAUGAUUGAUGAUCGAAGAUGGAAUUGGUGAUGGAUAGAAGAUGAUUGACUCUCUCAAUCCAUGGGCUUGAUUGACUCUCUCAAUAUGGAAUAACACUGGCUGUUGAUCACACAAACAACCAAUGCUAGACGAAUCAAUAGAACACAAGAAUCACUCAAGUAUCAUAAAGACAUAUUUCUAUUCAAAGACUCUCUUUGAUAAAACCAAACAAACUGAUUAUUAUUUCUUCAAGAUUGAAAAGGUGUCUUACAAGGAAGACUAGACAGAGCUUAUAUAGACUCGCGCCUUAACUUAUAUAGAAAACUAAAACAAAGAAAGAAGCAAACAAAGAAGGAAAACCGAUAAAACUAGUUGUUAGAAGAUAUCUUGGAUCCAAAGGCUUUCUUCAAGGGGUUUGAUUCUAGUUUUGUAUCUGGACGUUUUGAGGGUUUAGGUAAGUUUAUUAGGAACAUCUUGAAUGCUGAAGACUUGGUCGAAAUCAUUGUAGACUUGGCUUGGAAAGAGCCAUUGGGAAUUGAUGGCAAAUAAUUCCAAGAAUUACUCCAAAAAUGGCAAGUGAAGUCUUGGUAGAUCCCGUGGGUUCCGGUGAGUGCUGGUGCAUAUUAGGACUUCUAGAAAAUCAAGUAAUACCUCCAAAACGUUGCAGCUUUGAUGGCUUGGUCGUUGGUGACUUAUUCCCCAAAGUGUGAAUGCAUCCAGUUUUGGAAAGUUCCCAAACAAUAAGAUCCUCCUUAUCAUGUGGGCUCUGGUGCAUGGUAAGAAUUCUUAUAUACUCCUCCUGGAUCGUUGGAUAUAAUUCCAAGAUGAUUAUAAACCUCUCCUGUUCGCCACUGUUUGUUUGACUAAGAUUGAACCGGUGAGACUCCAAAUUAGGCAAUUGCGAAACUGGUUUGACCGGUUUAAGGAAAUGGGCCAUAACUCCAUAAUUCCGUGGACUUUCCUCCUCAUUCUUGGCUUGUUGGAAAGCUAAGAGAUACAUAUUGAAGUCGAGGAGUUGUUUUGGGUCGAAACGCUUCUUCGUUGAGCUUGAAACAACUUCUAAACUCGGAUACUCGCAUAUGGACGGACUGGAGAACCUCAAGCUUGUAAAAUUCAUAUAUUCCUUGUAUAGCUUUGAAGAUGAUUCCAAUUGGGUGUGAUUCCUUGUUGAGUUUAGAAUUCAUGAAAAUUGGUUGCAUGGAAAAAUUUCUCAUGUUUGGUGAGAUACUCUGUUUUGACUGAACACAUAUCUUGGUUGGUUUUUUGGUUAGCUGAUUGGUGCAACUGGUUGACCUCUGGUUCAGCUACUGAUUUGAGCCGCAUCAGAGAUGAAGAGAAGAUGAAAAACUUAACUUUGACUCACCGACCGCUCAACAUCAAACUCCAAAAGAAAAAGGUAUGUUUGUUUACUUCAAUUUUUUCUUGGACAGAUCUAUUUAACAAAUCCGGGCUUAGUUUUUAUAUUAUCUCCAGACAUGGCCCAUUAGUUUGACUUCUAUAUUAUAUUUUUUCAUUUGAUUUUGAUGAUAAAUUAAUGUGAAUUUGGUACUAUAAAUAUAACAUAUUUUAUAAAUAAGCCGCAAUGGAUUUUUAUUUUGAUUUCAUAAUCCCAGUUUUAUUAAAUGUUUACAAAUAGGCUAAUACCUAAUUAUAAAUUAGUAAGAACUAAAAUGCAAUGCUGUAAAUAUUAAAUUAAUUUCACUAUAUGUCACAUUGUUGUGAAAAAAAAUGUUUACAAAUAUGCUAUUUAAUAAAUAUAUUAUCUAAAUUUUUAUUUGACAGGAUGGUCAAGAUCAAGUUUUUAUCUAACUUUUUAGAUAAAAAAUCUAUCAGUGCAAAUAUUUCUUUAAAUUGACUAGAACCAUAAACUAUAGUAGAAAAUAUAUAAAAUUACAAUAUAUUUCUGUUAUAAAAUUGAGUUGUUUAAACAAUACAGAUUAAAUAAAUUACAAAAAUCGGUAAGUGUUUAAAUUAUAUACAUUCAAUAAUAUAGAACAAAUUUUCAAUAUUAUAUUAAAGUGAAAGAAAACAUAUGUGUGGGCACGCGGGUCGAAAGCUAGUAUACAUAAAAACAAGAAGCAUUUGUAAUAGAUUGAUGAUAUAAUGAUCAUGCAAGCCUAUUUCGUAGAUUAUGUGAGAAAAAAAUUCAGUUAUAUAUCAUGUAUUAGCAUGUGACAUCCAAAGACAACUAUAAUGCAUAUUUUUAACCACAAUACAAAUUUGUUAUAUUUUGUUAAUAAUUAUUUUGAUCACCAUCCAAUUUUGAAAAAUAUAACAGUACUGUUAUAUUGUGCAAAUACGAUUAUGAACAUUAUUUAAAAUUAAUUAAUUAGUUAAUUAUAUAUUUGCAAAUACAUCAACAUAGAUGAAGAACGAAGAGGAACAAAAAAAUUUGAAAGAUAAAUUUUCUAAUACCCUUGAAAGUUAUACAUUUAAUGGUUCCAAGGGCCAAAAUUAAAUUCCAAAUGUAUGUACAUGUAAAUUUAUUUUACAUAAACUUAAAUAAGUAAGAUAAAAAUAUUCAAAUUAAACUCCUCUUUAAUUAUUUUAUAUAUUUUUCUUCACGUGAUACAUAAUUUUUAAUAAUAAAAAAAAUACAAAUUUAUUCUGAGUGAUAAAAAUUCAAAUCCGUUAGACAAAAGCAAAAAGAAUGAAAGCCUAAAUUUUUGGAAAAUAGUCUAAUGAUUUAUGUUUUGAUAAUAUUAAUAUAUAUGUAUAUAAUACUGAAAUAAAUAGGAAAUAUAAUUAAAAAUAAAUAUUUUAGAAAAUCCCGGGCUUAGCCCUAGUAUAAACCUAGUUUUUGUGUAAAAGUAUGAUUUUUUUUUUUUUUUGAAAAGGUAAAAGUAUGAAUUAACUAUAUGUAAUUGUCUUACGCAGAUUUUUAGAUCUUGUAGUUAUUGAACGAAACUUGCCAAGAUUUAAAGAAGGAAGUUGACUCGUUGUUUACAAGUGUUGAAAGAAAUAGAGAAAUCUGGACUCUUCAGGAGACAGUGGGAAUGUGGAGAGACCUAAUAUUAUUUCCUUGACAUCUUUUGCUAUAAAUCGAAAGAUAAUUUGUCAUCUCUUUUCAGUUGUGAAACAGAAUGAAUCAACCUUGGCGAAUUUCGGCAAUGGAUCCCGACGUGGUGGAGAUCUCCCCUCCUCCAAUAGCUUCGGGUUCGAGAACUCGAAAACCCAGACAGGUUCGAUCUUUUUGUCCUUUUGUCCUGUUUAAUUGUGCUUAAUUUUACUGAUUUACUUAAUUGUUCGAUAUUUACCUCCAAUAUCGUAGUUCUCUUUCUCCACUUUUUAAAGUAGUUUCAUUUUUUUUUUGAAACCUGGAAAUGAAGUAUGAUUAAAAAAAAUAUUCUAAAAUAGAGUUAUCGUUAGAGAUGUUUUUAGGCUUUCAUUAUGCGUGAUGAUCAUCUAUAUGGCCUUUUGGUGUUUUAGGGUUAUGUUUAAAUUUAUGGGUAAUGUUGGGCUUUGGUUAAUCUUGAAUUUUGUUUUGUUUGCUAACGUUUACUAGCUAUGUAGAUUCAAGAUUCAAGAUACAUCUAUUUUUCUUUGCCGUUGUACGUAGACAGCCCUUGACACCCCUACAUGGAGACAAACACAUUUACGUCUUCUUAUUUCUUUACUUCUUUUAAGAAAAGUUAAGAAAUUCUGGAGUGAUGCGUUUUCUUUUAUUCGUUCCUGUUUUCGUAUUGAUUGUGUAUCGUAGUUUGAAAUCGAUUAGAUUUCGUGUCAACGUUUGGAGAAUUUCACUUGGUUCUCUAUUGUAAUUUGAUGUCAAUCGCAGUUGACCGUACAUAUAUAUAUAUAUAUAUAUAUAUUAACAGUAUAACUUUUGGUGCUUUUAUCUUGUCAGGCUGUAAUUUCUGAAGUGAUUGAUGUGGAAGAAUAUGAAUUCCGCAACAAUGUUGCUGAUAAGAAGAACAAAGGAAAAGCUAUACAAGAUACAUCUUCUUUUGAUCAUAAACCAUUUAGUCAUCUAGCUAGUGAAGCCGUGCCGAUGGAGCUUGAUGACUACGCAAUGUUUCAAGCCAUCCUAAAUUCUCAUAAUAUCCCGACUGAUGUAGAAGUGGUGAUGUCUACUCAACCUAGGUCUCAUAAUAUAGCGAUGGUGCCAUCUCUUCAUUCAGGACCUUUUAAAGUUGAUAAUUGUGCUACCUCUUCUCGCCUUAUAGCGGCUGAGGUUAUUUCUUCAGCUCAGGCUAAUUUUCUGCGAGACUUUAAAAGAUUUGACACUGUUGAUGAUUUCUCGGAUCAUCACUUUGCUUCCCAGGGAAAAGCUUCAAAGCAGGUGAUGUUUGUAUCUAACAUCUCCGAGGCUGUUUCUUUAAUCCUUCUUUGAUAUUUAAACGUUUAGUUGCCUCUCUUUUUUCUCUAUCAGCACGCAAAGGGUUGGGUGAAAAAGGUUCAAUCAGAUUGGAAGAUUCUUGAGAAUGAUUUGCCAGGUUGGUGUAUAUUACUAAUUCAGAUCAAUGCAAGCAACAUUCUUAAUACCUAUUUGUUCUUAAUCACAAACAGAGACGAUAUUUGUCCGAGCCUGUGAGUCAAGAAUGGAUCUUUUGAGAGCUGUAAUUAUUGGAGCCGAGGGAACUCCUUACAGUGACGGUCUUUUCUUUUUCGAUAUUCAGUUCUCAGACACCUAUCCUUCAGCGCCACCAGUAUGUCCUUACCAACUUUCUUGAUAUUUCUUCUGUUUUUUUUUUUUUUUUUGCCUUAAGCCCUUUGCGACUGUAAGUUUCAAUUGGUUGCUGACAGAAAGUUCAUUACCAUGCCGGUGGGCUUAGAAUAAACCCGAAUCUAUACAAUUGUGGUAAAGUAUGCUUAAGUCUUCUCGGUACCUGGACUGGUAACACAAGGGAGAGUUGGAUUCCAGAGGAGUCCACAAUGUUACAGCUUCUUGUCUCAAUCCAAGCACUCAUCUUGAAUCAAAAACCAUACUUUAACGAACCUGGCUACGAGCAGAGCAAGGGGACUGAAUCAGGCGAGCUUGUUUCUGAAGCUUACAGUGAGAAUAUAUUCAUAUUGUCUUUAAAGACAAUGGUUUACAGCAUGAGAAAACCACCCAAGGUAAUAUGUAGUCAAACAUUCAGCUGUUUCUUUCUUCGUUUUCCAAAGUUUGGGGUUAAAACUAGGGAUUUUUUAAAACUAUUGGUUGUUGAUGAAUUAUGUGCCAGCACUUUGAAGAGUUUGUUCGCAGCCAUUACUUCAUGCGAGCUCACGACAUUGUGAAAGCGUGCAAUGCUUAUAAAAACGGAGCUCCUCUUGGAUCUAUGGUUAAAGGUGGUGUCCAAGAUGUUUCGGAAACUAGCAAGAGGGGCUCAGACAAGUUUAUGGCCGAAGUAGCUUGCUUUAUGAAGACAGUGGUGGAUGAGUUCGUUAAAUUAGGAGUCAAGGAGCUUCAAGAAAAGCAGAAACCACUGACUAAGAGAAGCAUAUUAUCGGGUUGAGCCAAAGCCACCAUUGUUUUAUGAUUUAUAUCUCAAGUUAACGGGGAAUGGAUAGUCUAUGUUGUUUUUCCAGAAAUGUCCUAGUGUAGGUAUGAUAAUUAAGCUUCUUAUGAAUAUUGAGAACUGAGAAAUAAAUUUACUUUUUUAGUUUAUAAAAUUAAAUUUUGAGUAUCAUAUGUUCUUUUAACAUUUGUAUUAUUAUAAGCUAAGAUUAUUUAUACGACACCCAUUGCGUUAUCACUAGAUAAGUAAUCGUUUGAUUUUAAUUCUUGAUUAUUUUAGGCCUAUUUUACCUUCAAACUUUUGUUAUUAAAUUUUUUAUUUACUUUUUUUUUUUUUUUUUUUUUGUUUUUGGAACACAACUUUCGUUCAUCUAACUUUCUUCGGUACAAACAUAAGAGGGAAUUAUCCAUCCUCUUAAAUCAAAAGCAUAAACUACAAUAACAAACCAAAUUAAGAAAGAUAGAUCUUCAAAGGAAUAUAACUGCGAAUUCAAGACAAAGCUUGGAUGCGUCGAUAGAGCAUUCCCGACAAAAUCUGGCAGCUGAAACUUAGUCACAUAAUGUGACGUUGAAGGCCAACCCUCACCUUCGAGACAACACAUAGUAAUCUCGGUGGUUGCAUCUUCUGGCUCCGUACAGACCGCUACGCAAGAUAACAAACCGGUGGUAAAGUUGAAACUAAUGCUCAGCAACGCGGAGGAGACAUCUUCUUUCACAAGAAGAAUGUAUGGUAGAAAAGUACUCUCCUCCAGAGAAAAAAAAAAGAACGAAAUAAAUCCCGUCUCAAUGAGUCCACAUAUAAUAUCUUCUUAAAAAGAUGAUAUGCCAUUAUACGCAAGUUAAAGGCCCAGAUGAAUCCACCAGAAAUCCUUAUCAAAAAAGCCAAUACCAAUACCGCAUUUGUAAUUUAAAAAAAAUACCGUAGGUUUCAGGUUUGGAUGGCUGGUUUGUGGGCUAGCAAAUAUUGUAGACUUUGUAGUCCAUGCCCAACUAAAGGACACUCUCGGCCCAACCCUAGACAAACGUUUGAGUGGGUAUGACAGAAGUGAGAGCAGACACACGCCGGAGAUGGAUCUGCCGCCGCCAAAGGGAAGACGGUGCAAGAGCGUAGUGAGGUGGGACCUUCGGAGUAAACGGGUUCUUCAGCAAGACACAGUGGAAGAACGGUACGUCGGGUCUCCUCGGAAUCCCAGAGAAGAGGACCGUUAAAACAUGUGUUUGUCGAGCUGGAUCUGGUGAGAUUGGUCCGAGAGGAGCUCGUCUUUAGCAAGAAGUGUGCUAUCGGAACUGAAACCCUGCAGCACGGUGGAGUCCCAGCUACACAUGGUGAAAGAGUAUCACUAACAACUUGAUGCGGAAGAGACGGCAGAGCUGAUGGAAGACCAUGUCGACGAGACAUAGAUCUAGAGAUUCGAAGAUGGUUGAAGCUGACAGGCAUGAUGGCGAAGUGAGAAGACCCCCAAAAGACGAGUCUGGUGGUCAAAACACUAAAUUGAAAACUCCGAAGACGGAGCAGAGCAGAACACGAUGAGGAACAAGCAGAAGAGGGUGACGAGCACUGGACGGAGCAGAGGGCCCGAUGCCGGCGGCCGGAGGUCUCACCGGCGUCGAGGAAAAUGGAGGCUGGCGGCUCCUCGGUAAUAGUGCCUGAAAGAGUUUGAAAUUAGGGCGAACAAGACACCUGAUGUUUUUAAAUUUUUUAUUUACAUGAAUAUUUAUUAAUACAAUUUCUAACUUAGCAAAAAAAUGUAAGAAAUAAUCUAUUGAUGGAGAAGUCUAUCACAUGAAACAAUUGUCUUUGAUUAUAAGCAAAUUUUCUUAUUAUUAUGAUGUACAAAUUGGUGGUUGUGAUAGAAUAUCUACUUAUUAAUUCUUUUAUAAAAUAGUGUUUUUGGUUGAUUUAGUAUCGAACACCGAUAAUCAAUGAUAAAUAUCAUGAUUGUGAUUGAUGGAAUGAGAAGAGGUUAGCACUUUUAUUUUAUUUGGAGAAGGUUGUCGAAUAAGUAACUAGGUAGAUACCCGCGCCUAGAGUGAAAGUGUAUGAAAAGUAAUAAAAUUUAAUUUAAGUUUCCGUAGACAUUAUAUAGAUAAUAUACAAUAUGCAUUUUUAAUCAUAUAUACGUCUCAGCGUUUGGUUUUCAGUUUGAUACCGGUUCAAUUUUUUUUGUUUCGUUUUUGGUUGUGAAAACAAUUUGUUAUUUAAGUUCGGUUUGGUUAGAUUUCAGUUUGGUUAUUCUGGUUUUCGGUUCGGUUCGAGUGACAAUGUUAGGAACCGACUAAAGUCUCAUAAAAUCAGCUAUAUCGUAAUUUAAGAGAGAUAAACAACAGAGGUGCGAUGUUGUGUUUGUAUCCCCUAUAUAUUAUUUGAGAAGCAUUACAACUUCUUUUUGUAGACACAUGUCAUCAUUAAAAUGAUUCUUAGAACCAUUAGAGAAAUAUGUUGGUUCAUCUAAUUAUAUAAUAAGUUUUUUUAUUAAACUAACAAUAAAUUCAUCAUUAAUGUACUUUAUUAUUUUCUUAAAUAAAAUUUACGGAAUUGCCUAAUGUGGCUAAAGUAUAUAUGACAAUUAAUGAUUUUGAAUAAUAAAGAUUUGAUAAAAAAUAGUGUAUCUUUUAUCAUAUUUGUUUAAUUUUAAGCUAUUAAAUAAAUUAAACAACCACAAUAACCAUAUAAUAAAAAUUUAGAUUUUUAUGUAUAUGUUAUAUUUUGAAUUUUUACAAACGGCUAUAAAUUACUAAAACUGUUAAAAGUCUCACAUUCAAAUUUUAUGAUCCAUGGUUUAAAAUUUUUGUUAUGACAAAAUACAAAUGAUUACAAAAAUUAUAUAAGUACAAAGUCUAAUUUAAUUAAUUAUUAAGAUUAAUAUAUAUAUCGUUUUAAAUUAAACUAUAAACCAUAUAAAAUACAAUAUUUUAGUUUCAAAAUUUACUUUGAACAAUUUUUUUGAUAAAAGUUUUGAACGAUCAUUGACAACUUAGUUUUUUUUAUAUUAUAAAUUACUAAAACUAUUAAUCCCACAAUGAAAAUUUUGUUAUCAGUAAUUUAAAUUUUUUUCUAUAAAAGAUACAAAUGAUCAAAAAACUAUAUGAGUAGAAAUCAUCAUUUAAUAGAUAUUAAUAUUAAAAAUAUACUAAAAUAUGUUAUCUAUGUUAGUAUCAUUUAAAUUUAAUAACAUAUCUUAUCAAAUAUUAAAAAAAUAUUUUUUGGAUUAAUAAAAUAGAUUUAUAUGUUCGCACCAAUUUAAUUAUAUAUUUAAUAGUUACUGACUUUUAAUUAUUUAGUAUAUAUUUAUUAUUUCAUAAUAUGUAAAAAUAUUUAAUACAUAAAAUAAUUUAUAUAUAAUGUUGAUUCUGCGUAAGGCGCUGAUCUUAACCUAGUUAUGAAACUAAAUAGAUAGUCACAAUAUAUAUAGGGGAUAUGGGUCAAUGAAUUAUUACCCUAUAACUGAAAAAGUGCAUAAUAUAGUACUUAAAUGAAAUGACAAUUUUUGAAACAAAAAUAUAGAAAGUCUCAGUUUACACGGCCGCUAACUAUAGAAAGUAGUAGGGAAAUAGUCAAUGCUCUAUAUAUAUUGAUACUUGAUAUAUCAUAUAUAUUUGUAGAAACUCACAUUAACCAACCAGAACGAGUCAACUCUGUUGCUAAAGGGGUUGUAGUUAUAACUUCCGCCAUCCGAGUUUGAUUUGCUCUAAAAAUGACUAUUUACAUUUUUUGGGUUCCCGAUAAAAAGGUGAAAACACCUUUUUUUUUACUAAAAAAAAAAAAAGUUCACAUUAACCAAUAUUAAGUAGUUUUCAAAAAAUUACGUAAGAGCACAUAAAUUGCGUUAUUCUGUAUUUAAAUUGUUUCCAAAACCUUGCAAAAUUGCGCUUUGCAAGUUGAUAGUUUAGCUUUAGGAACACGCACAAUAUAUUUGACAUUAAUUCCAUUUAUUAUAUUAAAAAAAGACCCAAAAACAUCUUAAAACUAUUUUAACCAAUUUGAAAUCAAAUGAUCGUGUCCUGCCAAACCACCAAGUUAACCAAACCGAAAUCAUAUCUCUUAUCCCUUUUUGGUUUUAUAAAGUAUAUAUAAAGUUAACAUCUAUAUAUAUUGUUGAUAUGCCUUGAAUCUGGAUGUUACAUCUAGGCGAUAGAUGUUACAUCACGUACAUCAUACCGACUCGGUUGCAUCAAGAGCGUUGCAUCAAGUUAUUAUGGAUGUUACAUCUGAUCGUGGGCUUAAGUCCAUGAGUCCGUUUAGUCUAGGGUUUUAGAUGCGAGAUGUUACUAUAUAUAUCUUGUAUUCGAAGUAACCCUAAACUUGCACUCUGUAAACUCAAUAUCGCCUCCAAUAAUAAGAUCUCUCUUUGCCCGUGGACGUAGCCAAGUUGGUGAACCACGUUAAAUCUCUGUGUCGUUGUUACAUCGUUUUUAUUCAUCUGUUUCCGCAUCUGUUUCUUCUCACAAUUGUUACAACAAACUGGUAUCAGAGCUUCGGGUUGUGAUCUAGUGAGAAGAUGUCUGGAAUAAGAGCGAAGAUCGACAAGUUUGAUGGGAGAAAUAGCUUCGAGGAUGAAGACGCUGCUCUAAUCAUGUUGGUAUCUUUGCCGAACACUUUCGAGAACUUCGUGCAAUCGUUCAUUGUUGGCAAAAAUACAGUGAAACUGGAAGAAGUUAGGUCGGCGCUUCAUAGUCGGGAAUUGCGCCAUAAGGCAUCCAGCUCAGGGACAGACAAACAAGCAUCGGGGUUGUUUGUCAGUGGUGUGAAGGGACAUGGGAACAGAAGGACUUCGAAAGAUAGGAAGUCGUUUCCAAGGGGUCCUAAAGCAUCUGAUAUUUGCAACUAUUGCAAAGAGAAGGGACAUUGGAAGUCAGACUGUCCCAAGAUGAAGGAGCAGCAGUUUGGUUCUGUUGCAGUAGCCGAGGAUGAAACCAAGUCUGACGACGACAUCGCUCUUGUUGUGCACAGACACACACACUCUUCUGAUGUGUGGGUUCUUGAUACGGGAGCAUCCUACCAUAUGACACCGAGGAGAGAGUGGUUUUCAGAGUACACAGAGGUACUUGACAACAAGAUUAAGAUGGCAAACGACUUUGCCUGCAAGAUUGUUGGGAUCGGCUCAAUCAAGCUCAGGACACAUGAUGGUAGAUUCUGCACAUUGAACAAGGUUAGGCAUGUUCCAUCAAUGACGAAGAAUUUGAUAUCCGUGAGUCUUCUGGACAGCAGAGGGUUCAAAUAUUCGGGUGGCGAUGGAGUUCUGAAUGUCUACAGGGGUUCUGAUGUGAUUCUGAAGGGUUUCAUGAACGGUACUCUGUAUUUGCUGAAGGGUACAACAAUUACCGGUUCAGUAAAUGUUGCAUCGCCAGAGAUCCCAGAGAAAGAUAUGACUAAGCUAUGGCAUAUGAGGCUUGGACAUAUGGGUGAGCGUGGGAUGCAACAUCUGUCGAAGCAAGAUAUGCUUCAUUCUGAUAUUGGUUUGGAACUCUGCUCGGAAGAGUUCAAACAGUUUUGUAAGGAUGCAACAUCUGCCAAGCAUCUUACAGAUAGGGGAACACCACAGCGGGAUGGUGUUACAAAAUGGAUAAACCAGAUAAUGCUACAGAGAGCGAUGUGCAUGCUCUCGAGUGCUGGUUUGGAGAAGCGGUUUUGGGCUGAAGCAGUUAACACGGCUUGCUACUUGAUAAAUCUUGUUCCCCACAUAGGCAUCGAGUGCAGGAUACCUUCUGAGGUGUGGUCAGGUAGAUCUGCUGAAUAUUCAUUUUUAAGAGUGUUUAUGGGCUACAGUGAUGGAAUCAAAGGAUACAUGGUCUGGUCUCCAUCAGAAAACCGAAUGGUUCUAAGCAGGAAUUGUGUCUUCGAUGAAGUAUCUAUGGUUAGAAGCUCAGGAUCCAGUUCAGAAGCAGAAAAUGGUACCACUGAUAAACAGGUGGAGCUGCAAGAUGAUCAUGAAGUGAUCGAUGUGCAGGCACACACAGAAAAUUAAGAGGAGCGUGUAGAAGAUGUUCAGUUGAAGUCUACGAAGAUUCAACCGCUUGAUGCUACAGAGCGUAGCAUCGUGAAAGAUCAACCAAGAAGGGUUGAUGUUGGGCCACCAGAGAGAUAUCGCUUCGAGGACAUGGUGGGUUAUGCACUUUAGGUUGCAGAGGAAGUGGAUGCGUCAUCUACUUACAUGGAAGCUGUUUCUAGUCCAGAGUCUGAGAAAUGGCAUGUUGCAACGAGAGACGUGGAGUCUCAUCAGAAGAAUCAUAGAUGGGACCUGGUCACAUUACCAUCGGAGAGAAGGGAUGUUACAUGCAAGUGGGUCUUCAAGAUUAAGGAUGGAGCAUCACUGGCAGAAGGAGCUAAGUAUAAAGCUCAGAUUGUUGCAAGAAGUUUCAGUCAGAAAGAUGGAGUAGACUACAAUGAGAUAUUCUCAUCGAUGAUCAGACAUACGUCCAUCAGAGUGUUGCUAGCGCUGGUAGCACGUCAGGACUUGGAGCUUGAGCAAUUUGAUGUGAAGACAGUGUAUCUUCAUGGAGAGCUAGAGGAGAUAUACAUGACUCAGCCAGAUGGUUGUCGAGUUCCUGAAAAGGAUGACUAUGUGUGUACGCUUCAGAAGUCACUUUGUGGAUUUAAGCAGUCUCUCAGAGGAUGGUACAAGAGAUUCGACAGCUAUAUAAUCAAGUUGGGCUACAUCAGAAGUCCUUAUGAUUGGUGUGUCUGCAUGAGUAAGUUGAAGGAUGCGACGUUCAUCUUUUUUGGUAGUCUACAUGGAUGACAUGUUGUUUGCUGAAGAGAAGUGUGACAUCGAGAAGCUGGAGCUUCUGGGUUUUGAAGUUGAGAUGAAGGAUUUGGGUGAAGCAAUGAAGAUUUUAGGGAUGGAGAUCUUCAGAGAUAGGGAGAAGGAGUUGUUCUUGUCACAGAAGGCCUACAUUAAUGAGGUGUUGACAAGGUUCGUGAUGUCUUCAGAUGAACCUAUCAGUAUUAUGUGCACUGCAAAUGUUCAUCUCACCAUGUAUAUGGUUUAGCCCGUUGGGGCAUCAUGUCCGUCGGGGCAUCUGGUCCGCAAGGAUAUCUGGUCCAUUAGGACGUCUUGUCCGUUGAGACAUCCUGCCCGUUGGGGCAUCUAGUCCGUCGGGACGUCUUGUCAGUUGGGACAUCUGGCCCGUUGGGGCAUCCGGUCCGUUGGGACAUCUGGCCCGUUGGGCCAUGUGGUCCGCAAGGACAUAUCUGGUCCGUUGGGACAUCUGGCCCGUUGGGGCGUCUGGUCCGUUGAGACAUCUGGUCCAUUGGAACAUCCGGCUCGUUGGGGCAUCUGGUCCGUUGGGACGUCUGGUCCGUUGGGACAUCCGCCCCGUUGGGGCAUCUGGUCCGUUGGGACGUCUGGUUCGUUGGGACAUCUGGCCCGUACGGGCGUCUAGUCCGUUGGGACAUCUGGUCCGUUGGGACAUCUAGUCCGUUGGGACAUCUUGCUGAUGACGAACGUCUGGCUCUAGUUGAGCAUCUGGCCGUUAAAGGGCGUCUGGUUCGUCAUAGCAACACAUCUGGUCCGAAGGGACAUCUGAGGCAAAGAGAGCGAUGGUACAUUUGGCGUUGAAGAACGCAUCUGGUACAUUUGGCAUUAAUGGCGCAUCUGGCACUUGAAAGUGCAUCUUGUACAUCUGGCGCUGAUGGUGCAUCUGGUACAUCUGGCGCAGAGAAACGCAUCUGGUACAUCUGGAACUUGAAGGUACAUCUGGUACAUCUGUUAUUGGGAAGAUUCAAGUCAAGGUGGAGAUUUGUUGAUAUGCCUUGAAUCUGGAUGUUACAUCUAGGCGAUGGAUGUUACAUCACGUACAUCAUACCGACUCGGUUGCAUCAAGAGCGUUGCAUCAAGUUAUUAUGGAUGUUACAUCUGAUCGUGGGCUUAAGCCCAUGAGUCCGUUUAGUCUAGGGUUUUAGAUGCGAGAUGUUACUAUAUAUAUCUUGUAUUCGAAGUAACCCUAAACUUGCACUUUGUAAGCUCAAUAUCGCCUCCAAUAAUAAGAUCUCUCUUUGCCCGUGGACGUAGCCAAGUUGGUGAACCACGUUAAAUCUCUGUGUCGUUGUUACAUCGCUUUUAUUCAUCUGUUUCCGCAUCUGUUCCUUCUCACAAUUGUUACAACAAACUGGUAUCAGAGCUUCGGGUUGUGAUCUAGUGAGAAGAUGUCUGGAAUAAGAGCGAAGAUCGACAAGUUUGAUGGGAGAAAUAGCUUCAGUCUUUGGCAGAUUAAGAUGCAGGCGUUGUUGAAGCAACAAGGCAUCUGGGGACCAUUGUCAGAGAAUAAAUCUGAAGCAGCUGAUUUGGAGGCUCUGGAAGAGAAAGCGUUCUCAACAAUUUUGUUGUGUCUAGCAGACGAGAUUAUCAUCGAAGUGUUAGAUGAGAAAACGGCUGCUAGUUUGUGGCAGAAGUUGGAGAGUUUAUACAUGACAAAAUCUCUAACGAACAAGCUACUUCUGAAGCAACGUCUCUUUGCUUUGCGUAUGCAAGAAGGUAUUGAGCUUCGCGACCAUCUUGACAAGUUAAAUUCGAUAUUACUGGAGCUGCGUAACAUCGAUGUUAAGGUGGAGGAUGAAGACGCUGCUCUAAUCAUGUUGGUAUCUUUGCCGAACACUUUCGUGCAAUCGUUCAUUGUUGGCAAAGAUACAGUGAGACUGGAAGAAGUUAGGUCGGCGCUUCAUAGUCGGGAAUUACGCCAUAAGGCAUCCAACUCAGGGACAGACAAUCAAGCAUCGGGGUUGUUUGUCAGUGGUGUGAAGGGACAUGGGAACAAAAGGAAGUCGAAAGACAGAAAAUCGUUUCCAAGAGGUCCUAAGCCAACUGAUAUUUGCAACUAUUGCAAAGAGAAGGGACAUUGGAAGUCAGACUGUCCCAAGAAGAAGAAGGAGCAACAGUCUGGAUCUGCUGCAGUAGCUGAGGAUGAAGCCAAGUCUGAUAGUGACAUCGCUCUUGUUGUGCACGGACACACACACUCUUCUGAUGUGUGGGUUCUGGAUACAGGAGCAUCCUACCAUAUGACACCGAGGAGAGAGUGGUUUUCGAAGUACACAGAGGUACUUGACGGCAAGAUUAAGAUGGCAAAUGAUUUUGUCUGCAAGAUUGCUGGGAUCGGCUCAAUCAAGCUCAUGACACAUGAUGGUAGAUUCUGCACAUUGAACGAGGUUAGGCAUGUUCCAUCAAUGACGAAGAAUUUGAUAUCCAUGAGUCUUCUGGACAGUAGAGGGUUCAAAUAUCCGGGUGGUGAUGGAGUUCUGAAUGUAUGCAAGGGUUCUGAUGUGAUUUUGAAGGGUUUUGUAAACGGUACUCUAUAUUUGAUGAAGGGUACUACCGUUACAGGUUCAGCAAAUGUUGCAUCAACAGAGAUCUCAGAGGAAGAUAUGACUAAGUUGUGGCAUAUGAGGCUUGGACAUAUGGGUGAACGUGGGAUGCAACUUCUGUCGAAGCAAGGUCUUCUCUGUGGUCACAAGACCAAGAGUCUAGAGUUCUGUGAGCACUGCGUAUUUGGGAAGCUGCAUCGAAAGAGCUUUCGCAAGGAAAUUUAUAGAACAAAAGGCACACUCGAUUACAUCCAUUCAGACUGUUGGGGUCCAUCCAGAGUAGAGUCACUGAAAGGUCACAAAUAUUUUUUGUCUAUGAUUGAUGAUUAUUCGAGGAAGACUUGAAUAAUUUUUAUGAAGCACAAAAGUGAAGCAUUCAGUAGCUUCAAGGAGUGGAAAAUAUUGGUGGAGAAUCAACAGAGAAGAAGGUGAAGCGACUUCGUACUGAUAACGGUCUGGAAUUCUGCUCAGCAGAGUUCAAUCAGUUUUGUAAGGAUGCGGGGAUUGCAAGGCAUCUUACAGUCAGAGAAACACCACAACAAAAUGGUGUAGCAGAACGAAUGAACCAGACAUUGCUAGAGAGAGCAAGGUGCAUGCUCUCGAAUGCUGGUCUGGAGAAGCGGUUUUGGGCUUAAGCAGUCAACACGGCUUGUUACUUGAUAAAUCUCGGUCCCCACACAGGCAUCGAGUGCAGGAUACCUUCUGAAGUGUGGUCAGGUAGAUCUGCUGAUUAUUCACUUCUAAGAGUGUUCGGUUGCACUGUUUACUAUCAUGUAAGUGAAGGUAAACUAGAGCCGAGAGCAAGGAAGGGAGUUUUUAUGGGCUACGGCGAUGGAGUCAAGGGAUACAGGGUCUGGUCUCCAUCAGAAAACCGAGUGAUUCUAAGCAGGAAUGUUGUUUUCGAUGAAGCAUCUAUGGUUAGAAGCUCAUGGUCCAGUUCUGAAGCAGAACAGGUGGAGCUGCGAGAUGAUCAUGACGUGAUCAAUGUGCAGGAACACACAAAAAGUCAAGAAGAGCGUGUAGAAGAAGUUCAGUUGGAGCCUACGGAGACUCAACCGCCUGAUGCUACGAAGCGUAGCAUCGCGCAGGAUCGACCAAGAAGGGUUGAUGUCAGGCCACCAGAGAGAUAUCGUUUUGAUGAUAUGGUGGGUUAUGCACUUCAGGUUGCAGAGGAAUUGAAUACGUAUGAACCAUCCACUUACAUGGAAGCUGUUUCUUGUCCCGAGUAUGAGAAAUGGCAUGCAGCAAUGGGAGACGAAAUGGAGUAUCAUGAGAAGAAUCAUACAUGGGAUUUGGUCACAUUACCACCAGGGAGAAGAGUUGUUACAUGCAAGUGGAUCUACAAGAUUAAGGAUGGAGCAUCACCGACAGGAGGAGUUAAGUAUAAAUAUCGGGUUGUUGCAAGAGGUUUUAGUCAGAGAGAGGGAGUAGACUACAAUGAGAUAUUUUCACCAGUGGUCAGACAUACUUCCAUUAGAGUGUUGCUAGCGCUGGUAGCAUGUCAGGACUUGGAGCUUGAGCAACUCGAUGUGAAGACUGCGUUUCUUCAUGGAGAGCUUGAGGAGGAGAUAUACAUGACUCAGCCGGAUGGUUUUCGAGUUCCUGGAAAAGAAGACUAUGUGUUUAAGCUUCGGAAGUCCCUUUAUGGACUUAAGCAGUCUCCCAGACAAUGGUACAAGAGAUUCGACAGCUAUAUGAUCAAGUUGGGCUACAUCAAAAGUCCUUAUGAUUGUUGUGUCUACAUGAGAAAAUUGAAAGAUGACACAUUCAUCUUUUUGGUGCUCUACGUGGAUGACAUGCUGAUAGCUGCAGAGAAGAUGUGUGACAUCAAGAAGCUGAAGGAGCUUCUGAGUUUUGAAUUUGAGAUGAAGGAUUUGGGUGCAGAAAAGAAGAUUCUAGGGAUGGAGAUCUUCAGAGAUAUGGGGAAGAAGAAGUUGUUCUUAUCACAGAAGGCCUACAUUAAUAAGGUGUUGACAAGGUUCGAAAUGUCUUCAUGUAAACCUAUUAGUACUCCGCGUGCAUCAAAUCUUCAUCUUACCAUGUAUGAGGUUCAGUCUGAAGAAGAGGCAGAGUAUAUGUCUCAAGUUCCUUAUGCUAGCGCUGUAGGAAGCUUGAUGUAUGCAAUGGUCUGCACAAGACCAGAUCUGGCACAUGCAGUCAGUGUGGUUAGCAGGUUUAUGGGACAACCUGGGAAGGAGCAUUGAGCAGCUGUGAAGCGGAUUUUCCGGUAUCUGAGGGUACAUCUGAUGUUGGUCUCAUCUAUGGAUGCGACAAUCCGCAAUUAGUAACAGGCUAUUCCGAUUCUGAUUAUGCUGGAGAUGUAGACUGCAGAAGAUCUAUGACCGGUUUUGUGUUCACCUUGGGCGGCUCAGUGGUUAGCUGGAAGAUAACUUUACAGUCUACAGUGACAUUGUCUACUACUGAGGCAGAGUAUAUGGCGCUGACAGAAGCUGUGAAGGAAGGAAUAUGGCUUAGAGGAUUGGUUAGUGAUCUCGGUUUGCAUCAAGAUGAGGCUACUGUGUAUUGUGACAGUUUGAGCACUAUAUGCUUAGCCAAUGAUCAGGUUCAUCAUGAGAGAACGAAGCAUAUUGAUGUGAGGUAUCACUUCUUGAGAGAUGAGAAGCGAAUUGAAGUGAAGAAAGUAGGAACUGUAGAUAAUCCUGCUGACAUGUUCACAAAGCCGGUUCCUCACAGCAAGUUUAAGCAUUGCUUAGACUUGCUAAACAUCUCAAACUGUUAGUAUGGCCCUAAGGGGCAUAUGGCCCGAAGGGGCAUCUGGUCCGCAAGGACAUCUGGCCCGUUGGGGCAUCUGGNNNNNNNNNNNNNNNNNNNNNNNNNNNNNNNNNNNNNNNNNNNNNNNNNNNNNNNNNNNNNNNNNNNNNNNNNNNNNNNNNNNNNNNNNNNNNNNCGAGUGAUUCUAAGCAGGAAUGUUGUUUUCGAUGAAGCAUCUAUGGUUAGAAGCUCAUGGUCCAGUUCUGAAGCAGAGAAAGGUAGCACUGAUAAACAGGUGGAGCUGCGAGAUGAUCAUGACGUGAUCAAUGUGCAUGAACACACAGAAAAUCAAGAGGAGCGUGUAGAAGAAGUUCAGUUGGAGUCUACGGAGACUCAACCGCCUGAUGCUACGAAGCGUAGCAUCGCGAAGGAUCGACCAAGAAGGGUUGAUGUCAGGCCACCAGAGAGAUAUCGUUUUGAUGAUAUGGUGGGUUAUGCACUUCAGGUUGCAGAGGAAGUGGAUACGUAUGAACCAUCCACUUACAUGGAAGCUGUUUCUUGUCCCGAGUAUGAGAAAUGGCAUGCAGCAAUGGGAGACGAAAUGGAGUCUCAUGAGAAGAAUCAUACAUGGGAUUUGGUCACAUUACCACCAGGGAGAAGAGUUGUUACAUGCAAGUGGAUCUACAAGAUUAAGGAUGGAGCAUCGCCGACAGAAGGAGUUAAGUAUAAAUCUCGGGUUGUUGCAAGAGGUUUUAGUCAGAGAGAGGGAGUAGACUACAAUGAGAUAUUUUCACCAGUGGUCAGACAUACUUCCAUCAGAGUGUUGCUAGCGCUGGUAGCAUGUCAGGACUUGGAGCUUGAGCAACUCGAUGUGAAGACUGCGUUUCUUCAUGGAGAGCUUGAGGAGGAGAUAUACAUGACUCAGCCGGAUGGUUUUCGAGUUCCUGGAAAAGAAGACUAUGUGUUUAAGCUUCGGAAGUCCCUUUAUGGACUUAAGCAGUCUCCCAGACAAUGGUACAAGAGAUUCGACAGCUAUAUGAUCAAGUUGGGCUACAUCAAAAGUCCUUAUGAUUGUUGUGUCUACAUGAGAAAAUUGAAAGAUGACACAUUCAUCUAUUUGGUGCUCUACGUGGAUGACAUGCUGAUAGCUGCAGAGAAGAUGUGUGACAUCAAGAAGCUGAAGGAGCUUCUGAGUUCUGAAUUUGAGAUGAAGGAUUUGGGUGCAGCAAAGAAGAUUCUAGGGAUGGAGAUCUUUAGAGAUAGGGAGAAGAAGAAGUUGUUCUUGUCACAGAAGGCCUACAUUAAUAAGGUGUUGACAAGGUUCGAAAUGUCUUCAUGUAAACCUAUUAGUACUCCGUGUGCAUCAAAUCUUCAUCUUACCAUGUAUGAGGUUCAGUCUGAAGAAGAGACAGAGUAUAUGUCUCGAGUUCCUUAUGCUAGCGCUGUAGGAAGCUUGAUGUAUGCAAUGGUCUGCACAAGACCAGAUCUGGCACAUGCAGUCAGUGUGGUUAGCAGGUUUAUGGGACAACCUGGGAAGGAGCAUUGGGCAGCUGUGAAGCGGAUUUUCCGGUAUCUGAAGGGUACAUCUGAUGUUGGUCUCAUCUAUGGAUGCGACAAUCCGCGAUUGGUAACAGGCUUUUCUGAUUCUGAUUAUGCUGGAGAUGUGGACAGCAGAAGAUCUAUGACCGGUUAUGUGUUCACCUUGGGCGGCUCUGUGGUUAGCUGGAAGGCGACUUUACAGUCUACAGUGACAUUGUCUACUACUGAGGCAGAGUAUAUGGCGCUAACAGAAGCUGCGAAGGAAGGAAUAUGGCUUAGAGGAUUGGUUAAUGAUCUCGGUUUGCAUCAAGAUCAGGCUACUGUGUAUUGUGACAGUUUGAGCGCUAUAUGCUUAGCCAAGGAUCAGGUUCAUCAUGAGAGAACGAAGCAUAUUGAUGUGAGGUAUCACUUCUUGAGAGAUGAGAAGCGAAUUGAAGUGAAGAAAGUAGGAACUGUAGAUAAUCCUGCUGACAUGUUCACAAAGCCGGUUCCUCACAGCAAGUUUAAGCAUUGCUUAGACUUGCUAAACAUCUCAAACUGUUAGUAUGGCCCUAAGGGGCAUAUGGCCCGAAGGGGCAUCUGGUCCGCAAGGACAUCUGGCCCGAAGGGGCAUCUGGUCCGCAAGGACAUCUGGCCCGAAGGGGCAUCUGGUCUGCAAGGACAUCUGGCCCGUUGGGGCAUCUGGCCCGUCGGGGCAUCUGGUAUGUAAGGACAUCUGGACCGUAAGGACGUCUGGUCUAUUGGGACAUCUGGCUGAUAACGAACGUCUGGCUCUAGUUGAGCAUCUGGCCGUUAAAUGGCGUCUGGUUCUUUUAAGCAGCACAUCUGGUCCGAAGGACAGUGUGGUUAGCAGGUUUAUGGGACAACCUGGGAAGGAGCAUUGAGCAGCUGUGAAGCGGAUUUUCCGGUAUCUGAAGGGUACAUCUGAUGUUGGUCUCAUCUAUGGAUGCGACAAUCCGCAAUUAGUAACAGGCUAUUCCGAUUCUGAUUAUGCUGGAGAUGUAGACUGCAGAAGAUCUAUGACCGGUUUUGUGUUCACCUUGGGCGGCUCAGUGGUUAGCUGGAAGAUAUCUAGGCGAUGGAUGUUACAUCACGUACAUCAUACCGACUCAGUUUCAUCAAGAACGUUGCAUCAAGUUAUUAUGGAUGUUACAUCUGAUAGUGGGCUCAUUGUCUACUACUGAGGCAGAGUAUAUGGCGCUGACAGAAGCUGUGAAGGAAGGAAUAUGGCUUAGAGGAUUGGUUAGUGAUCUCGGUUUGCAUCAAGAUGAGGCUACUGUGUAUUGUGACAGUUUGAGCACUAUAUGCUUAGCCAAUUCUGUAAACUCAAUAUCGCCUCCAAUAAUAAGAUCUCUCUUUGUCCGUGGACGUAGCCAAGUUGGUGAACCACGUUAAAUCUCUGUGUCUUGUUACAUCGUUUUUAUUCAUUUGUUUCCGCAUCUGUUUCUUCUCACAAUUGUUACAACAUAUAUAUAUAUUACAGUGAGUUUGAUAUUUUUUGUUGUUUGAUCUUUUCCAAUCUUUUGAGUUUGACUUUGGACUGAGUUAUGUCAUCUCUGCCGUAAAAUGAUAUAUAAAAGUAUAUUAACCUGACGCACAAAAUAUUGCCCGUGUUUAUAUGGUGAGCAGUAUCAAACAACUGGUUAUAUUAUUGUGUCAUUUGAUGUGAGUAAUUGGUGUAAUCAGACUCUUUCAUGAUUCUGUCAUAUUGGUGUUAUAUAUUUGUGUUAGAUAGAGUAUUAAAAAAACAGUAAACAACACCGAAAUCAAUUUUUUUAUCAGACUGUCAUAUUAGGAUGUUAAACUGCUAGACAAACAUGUUUAGUAUAUUCAUACUUAGGAUUCACUUUCCACUGAGCUAGUUGGUGUGUUCAGAAGUUGUAAUAUAUAUAUUUAUACAUAUUCAUAUUUAGGAUAUUUCCUUUCCACUGAUUUUUUUUUUUUUUUUUGUUUAACCAGAAUGGAUUCGGGCCUUCGGCCUUAAUCCCCAUAGGCCCGGAGCCAACUUUUGUUUGUACCUGUUACGGCGCUGGACACUCUUCUCCGCCCGAGACUCGAACUCGUGACCUAUCAGACAAAUUUCUGAGGUGUUACCAGUUGAACUAUGUCAUCCGGGUAUGUUAAACUGCUAGACAAACAUGUUUAGGAUAUUAAUAUUUCUUUCCACUGAGUUAGAGUUAGUUGGUGUGAUCAGAAAUUGUAACAUGUUCUUGGGAUAUUUGUUCACAUUGAUCAGAUCAAACUAUGUUAUUUUUCGUUAGAAUGUUUACUGAAAUUAGGAUUGACAGUUUAUUUAUAUAUAUUAGGCAAAGCAUUAUAUAACGAGCAGUGUAAAUUAUUAUGGCAAUUGUUAAACGGGAACGGUUGGAGCAACGAUUUUGAUUCGAAUGUGGUGGUGUUAAAAAGAAAUCUAUACUAUUAAAUCAUGAUCAUAUCUAAUUUUAGUCCCGAAAAUAAUUUUUUAUUUACAUCACAUGCCAUUGAUUUUUCAAAGCAAUAGAUAAAAAGAGUGUUUAGGUAAAUUAACUAUCUAACGAUUUAGUUCUAUUAUUUUCCAUAUUGAAUUAGUUUGGGCUCGCUUUAACUAUCAUACUAUAGGCUCAUGCUUUCUAACAAUUUUUUUUUUAACAGGUCUUCAAUCAUAAUUAUAUUUUUUGGUCCAAAUCAAACGACCACAAUAACCAAUCUAAACCGGGUAUACUUUUGCUGGCAUCAUACGAAACAUACACAUGUCGAAGCAUGGGAAAUCAACAAAAAAGAAAAAAAUUGUCAUCUUUCUUUUUGUCAUCAUAUUAAGAAAUUUGAUACAUACUAUAAAUUUUUAUACAUGUUAUGUUUGCUGAGGUUAUUUACAAUUUUGAUACAUAAGUGAAAGCUAUUAAAAGUUACUGAGUACAAUUCUGUACGAUUAGAGAAAUACCACUUUAAAUCCUUUCAAGAAAUCAAGUACAAUUUUGGAAACACUCAUUUAUAAAAUAAUAAUAAAGAAAUAUGAUGAAUUUUAAGUUUGCUAGAAAAUAGAAUACAAAUAUAUGAAAAAUAUUACAUUUCACAUAGUUAAUAGGUUACAAAUGAUUUUGGACUUACAAAUUAUUAAAUCGAUUCUUAUGCUGCCACGUAAUGUAAAUUGACAACCUAAUUAACUGACACAUCAUCAAGCUUCUUUUGUAAUUAAUACAAACUAUAGAUUACAACUUUUAAAAUGAUUAUUAACUAAUAUAUAUGAGAUUGUUCUAUUACAUAAUGAAGAUCAUGCUUAAUAUUUGCAGUUAUGGUUUGUUCUAGCCAUUUGCUCAACUGUGUGAAAAUUACCACAGAUAGUUUAAUUUAAAUGAUAUAUAUAUAUAUAUAAUAUAAUAUAAAUAUCUAUUACAUAUUAUAUAUAUGAUCAUAAUAAUCUAUUAAUACACAUAAUAUGAAUAUCUAUUAAUGAAACUUCAUAUUUAUACGAUUUGUAAUCAUUUGUAUUUUGCUUGAACAAAAAAAAAGUUAAACCACUGAUCACAAAAUUUUCAAUGUGAGAAUUUUACCAUUUUUAUUUAUUUUAUAGUCGUUUUAAAAAAUUCAAAAUAUAACAUAUAAAAAAAAUCUAAUAUUUUUAUGAUAUGCUUAAUGUGAUUUUUUAAUUAUUUAUAAUAUAAAUUUAAACAAAAUAGAAAUGAUACAAAAAUUGUUAUCAAAUAUGUAUUAUUCAUAAUCAUUAAUUGUCAUAUAUAUCUUAAUUAUAUUAGGUAAUUAUGUAGCUUUUAUUUAAGGAAAAAAUUGAGAAUAUUAUUUUGCACACUACUAAUUAAUUUGAUAGUUAAUUUAAUAAAAACUAUAAUAUAUAUUUAUAUGAACCAACUUAUUUUUUUAAGGAUACUAAGAAUCAUCUUAACCAUGACACGUAGUUACGAAAACAUGUUGUAAUUCUCCAUGAUUAAUGAUAAAUUGUCAAAAUACCAUUUUCAAAGUACCACUUUUCAUAUUUACGGUAACCACUUUUACCCUCAUCUUUAAUGAAGAGUAAAAGACAUUAAUAACACUUUGAUUAACUUUGACAAAAAAAACAUAUCGUUAACUAAUCUAAACUUAAAACGUCAACUAUAAACUCUAAAUCAUCAACUCUAAACCCUAAACCCCGAAACAUCAACUCUAAACCCUAAACCCUAAACCUUCAAAUCUAAACCCUAAAACAUCAACUUUAAACCCUAACGUAAACCCUAAACCCUAAAUCUAAACUUAAAACAUCAACUCUAAACCCUAAAUCAUCAACUCUAAACCCUAAACCAUGAAACAUCAACUCUAAACCCUAAACCUUGAAACAUCAACUCUAAACCCUAAACGUAAACCCUAAACCUUCAAAUCUAAACCCUAAAAUAUCAACUCUAAACCCUAAAUAUAAACCCUAAACCCUAAAUGUAAACUUAAAAUAUCAACUCUAAACCCUAAAUCAUCAACUCUAAACCCUAAACCAUGAAACAUCAAAUCUAAACCCUAAACCCCGAAACAUCAACUCUAAACCCUAAACCCUAAACCUUCAAAUCUAAACCCUAAAACAUCAACUCUAAACCCUAAACGUAAACCUUAAACCCUAUAUUUUUCUGAAAUUCGAACCCUAAACCUUAAAACCCUAAACCUUCAAAUUUAAACUCUAAAACAUCAACUCUAAACCCUAAAUGUAAACCCUAACCCUAAAACCCUAAACCCUAAACCUUCAAAUCUAAAACCUAAAACAUCAAUUCUAGGGUUUUGGGGUUUAAGGUUUAGGGUUUAAAGUUUUGGAUUAAGAGCUGAAGGUUUAGGGUUUAUGGUUUAGAGUUGAUUUUUCUGGGUUUAGAGUUGAUGUUUUAGGGUUUAGGGUUAAUUUUUUAGGGUUUAGGGUUUAGUGUUGAUAGUUUAGGGUUUAGUGUUGAUGGUUUAGGGUUUAGAGUUGAAGUUUAGGGUUUAGGGUUUAGAGUUGAUGUUUUAGGGUUUAGAGUUGAAGGUUUAGGGUUUAGGGUUUAGAGUUUAGAGUUUAGGGUUUAGGGUUUAGGGUUUAAGGUUCGUAUUUCAAAGAAAAGGAUUUAGGACUGAUGGUUUAGGGUUUAGAGUUUAGAGUUAGGGUUUAGGGUUUGAAUUUCGAAAUAGUAUAAUUCGAAAAAAUUAAAAAAUAUAUUUUUUAUUUUUUUAGAUUUUUAUUCAUUUAAAUAUUUAUUUAUUAUAUAUAGAAAGAACAUGGACAUAAGAGUCUUUUGUCACUUAGUGAAGAAUGUAUUUUUGAAAAUGUUCUUUUAGUGGUGGUAAAAAUGAAAAGUAGUAGCAUGAAAGUGGUAAACAUGAAAUUUCCCCUUGAAUAAAUUAAACUCAGAUGAAUUCACGUCCCAUUUUUUUUUUAACAAAUUCAUUGCAAUCUUUCAACAGUUGAAUUAAAUUUUCAAUUACCUCGUUGUACAUAGUCUUAAGGAUCUACAAGAAAAAUCAGAAGUAUAUUUUUCCAAGAAAAAACAAAUUAGCAGUACUGAUUGUCUUUUUUUUUGAACAUUUCUGAUUGAUUAGUUAAACUCAAUAUAUUGCGAUGAAUGGUGACAAUAUAAAAGCGGAUUUCAAAGUGUAUAUCGUCAAAACCGCUUUUAACCACCAAUCAACAUUUUUUUCUCUCAAAACUGUGCAGUUUUAAAAGCCACCAAAACCAAAAACGAAAAUGCUCAAACUAUUAAGGGAGCACUUUACACCUGUACAAAUAUAUAAUAAUCAUGAAAUAACUAGCGUUUUUGGUCAAUUACGCACUUCUUAUGCUGCUAAAUAACUGUUGUUUGUUAUAUAGGGUUCGAAUGUUUACGACCGCCCCGUACCGCACCGCAGUUAACAGUAACAAAAAUCUGUGCAUAAACUAUAUAUCUAUACGUUUUUAUAACUGUUAAAACUGCACCGCAGUUGAACCGCUUGUCCCGCACUGCUCAAACCGCACUCACCAUUCGGAGCCAUAGAGUAUUAAGAUCCGAAUGGUAACAGCGGAUUUGAUAAUAAAAACGGUGCGGAAUUAAAAUGCGGGACGGUACAACUGCGGUUCCUGCGGAAAUUGGAGUACGGCCCGGGAGAACUGUGGUUUUAAGUAAAAAGCAGUGUGGAAUAUUGUUUGAAUUGUGACAAUACAUAUUUGCGGUAUUGAAUGAUUAUUUAACAAAUAAUAUAAUAAUGGUACAUAAUAUAGAAUAUAUUAAAAUAAUAAAAAUAUAUGAAAAUAUUAUAAAUAAUAUAUUAACAUAAUAAAUAUAUUUUAAAAUAAAAAUGUCUUAAAGUGAAAUGUGUUUGAUAAGUGGGGUUUUGAUAAAAUAAGUGAUACAAAAUAAUGUUUGAUUGCUGAAAAAAUAUUUUAUAGUUUUGCUAAAUAAAUAUUAAAAAUAUGUGAAACAAAUUUUUGAUUCCUACUCUCGGGUUCUAGAGAUAUAAGAUUUGUUCUCGUAAUUGGUAGAACCCAAAUCUUAAUCGAUCCUAGAAAAGAAGUUUAAUUUGGUUUGGUUCUCCGGUUCCGUAUAAAUGUACACAUGCCUAUAUAUUCUUAUAUUUAAUAAAGGAAAAUUGCCAAAAAUAUCAUUUUCAAAAUACCACUUUUCAUGUUUGCACUAAUUACUUUUACCUUUAUCUUUAAUGAAGGGUAAAAAAUAUUUAUAACGUUUUGAUUAACUUUGACAAAAAAAAAUUAACUAAUUUAAACUUAAAUCAUCAACUCUAAACCCUAAAUCAUCAACUCUAAAUCCUAAACCACGAAACAUCAACUCUAAACCCUAAACCCCAAAACAUCAACUCUAAACCCUAAACUCUAAACCCUAAACCUUCAAAUCUAAACCCUAAAACAUCAACUCUAAACCCUAAAUCUAAACUCAACACAUCAACUUUAAACCCUAAAUCAUCAUCUCUAAACCCUAAACCCUAAAUCAUCAACUCUAAACCCUAAACCCCGAAAGAUCAACUCUAAACCCUAAACUCUAAACCUUCAAAUCUAAACCCAAAAACAUCAACUCUAAACCCUAAACGUAAACCCUAAACCCUAUAUUUUUCUUAAAUUUGUACCCUAAACCUUUAAAUCUAAAUCCUAAAACAUCAACUCUAAACCCUAAACGUAAACUCUAAACCCUAAAACCCUAAACCUUCAAAUCUAAACCCAAAAACAUCAACUC